GAUGAACGCUGGCGGCGUGCCUAAUACAUGCAAGUCGAGCGAACAGACGAGGAGCUUGCUUCUCUGAUGUUAGCGGCGGACGGGUGAGUAAUACGUGGAUAACCUACCUAUAAGACUGGGAUAACUUCGGGAAACCGGAGCUAAUACCGGAUAAUAUAUUGAACCGCAUGGUUCAAUAGUGAAAGACGGUUUUGCUGUCACUUAUAGAUGGAUCCGCGCUGCAUUAGCUAGUUGGUAAGGUAACGGCUUACCAAGGCAACGAUGCAUAGCCGACCUGAGAGGGUGAUCGGCCACACUGGAACUGAGACACGGUCCAGACUCCUACGGGAGGCAGCAGUAGGGAAUCUUCCGCAAUGGGCGGAAGCCUGACGGAGCAACGCCGCGUGAGUGAUGAAGGUCCUCGGAUCGUAAAACUCUGUUAUUAGGGAAGAACAAAUGUGUAAGUAACUAUGCACAUCUUGACGGUACCUAAUCAGAAAGCCACGGCUAACUACGUG
rnacentral:rRNA from 1 species